rnacentral:rRNA from 1 species
GACGAACGCUGGCGGCGUGCUUAACACAUGCAAGUCGAACGGAAAGGCCCUGCUUUUGUGGGGUGCUCGAGUGGCGAACGGGUGAGUAACACGUGAGUAACCUGCCCUUGACUUUGGGAUAACUUCAGGAAACUGGGGCUAAUACCGGAUAGGAGCUCCUGCUGCAUGGUGGGGGUUGGAAAGUCUCGGCGGGUGGGGAUGGACUCGCGGCUUAUCAGCUUGUUGGUUGGGUAGUGGCUUACCAAGGCUUUGACGGGUAGCCGGCCUGAGAGGGUGUCCGGCCACAUUGGGACUGAGAGACGGCCCAGACUCCUACGGGAGGCAGCAGUGGGGAAUAUUGCACAAUGGGCGGAAGCCUGAUGCAGCAACGCCGCGUGCGGGAUGACGGCCUUCGGGUUGUAAACCGCUUUCGCCUGUGACGAAGCGUGAGUGACGGUAAUGGGUAAAGAAGCACCGGCUAACUACGUG